rnacentral:rRNA from 1 species
CCUACGGGUCGCACCAGUGGGGAAUAUUGCACAAUGGGCGCAAGCCUGUUGCAGCCAUGCCGCGUGUAUGAAGAAGGCCUUCGGGUUGUAAAGUACUUUCAGCGGGGAGGAAGGUGUUGUGGUUAAUAACCAUAGCAAUUGACGUUACCCGCAGAAGAAGCACCGGCUAACUCCGUGCCAGCAGCUGCGGUAAUACGGAGGGUGCAAGCGUUAAUCGGAAUUACUGGGCGUAAAGCGCACGCAGGCGGUCUGUCAAGUCGGAUGUGCAAUCCCCGGGCUCAACCUGGGAACUGCAUUCGAAACUGGCAGGCUAGAGUCUUGUAGAGGGGGGUAGAAUUCCAGGUGUAGCGGUGAAAUGCGUAGAGAUCUGGAGGAAUACCGGUGGCGAAGGCGGCCCCCUGGACAAAGACUGACGCUCAGGUGCGAAAGCGUGGGGAGCAAACAGGAUUAGAUACCCCAGUAGUC